rnacentral:rRNA from 1 species
UAAGCGGAGGAAAAGAAACUAACAAGGAUUCCCCUAGUAACGGCGAGUGAAGCGGGAAGAGCUCAAAUUUGAAAUCUGGUAGCCUUCGGUUGCCCGAGUUGUAAUCUAGAGAAGUGUUUUCCGUGCCGGCCCAUGUACAAGUCCCUUGGAACAGGGCGUCAUAGAGGGUGAGAAUCCCGUCCUUGACAUGGACCCCCGGUGCUUUGUGAUACACUUUCAACGAGUCGAGUUGUUUGGGAAUGCAGCUCAAAAUGGGUGGUGAAUUCCAUCUAAAGCUAAAUAUUGGCGAGAGACCGAUAGCGAACAAGUACCGUGAGGGAAAGAUGAAAAGCACUUUGGAAAGAGAGUUAAACAGUACGUGAAAUUGUUGAAAGGGAAACGAUUGAAGUCAGUCAUGCUCUUGGGACUUACCUCCCUUGAGUGGGGUCAACAUCAGUUUUGAUCGAUGGAUAAAGGCACGGGGAAGGUAGCACUCUCGGGUGAACUUAUAGCCUCGCGUCAUAUACAUUGAUUGGGACUGAGGAACGCAGCAUGCCUUAUGGCCGGGAUUCGUCCACGUACAUGCUA